CUUGUCCUCCCUGUGCCGCUCGAGCUCCGCCACGAGCGGAUCGAACGGGACCGGCUCGUGGUGGUGGCGGGCGGCGGCGGCGGGGGGCUUGAAGGUGAAGUUGGACCGGAGCUUCAGGCGGCGGUGGUGGCCGCCGCGGCCAUGGCCGGCGGGGGACCGCGGGGAGCGGGAGACGAGGAGGAGGACGAGGACGGCGACGGCAAUGUAGAUGGCGACGGAGAGCUUGCCCAUCUAAAGGGGAAGCGCCGGGACCAUGCGGAGGAGAUCGGAGAUCGGAGGUCGGAGAUCGGCGGCGGCGGCGAGGGUUUUGGAUCUGGAGAGAGACAGAAGGUGUUUGACGAAAUGGGGAAGUGAGGUUUGCCUUGGGGAGCGUGCGAUUUGCGCGUUUCUGGAGGUUUUUGCAGGAUGCCGCCGGGAUCACUCCUCCGCUCUAGAGAGAGAAAGUUUCGAGAAAGAGGAGAGAGAUCUGGAAAUAUUUCUUUUUUUGGUUUUUUUUUGUUCUUCGGUUCAUUUUUAGAGUUGCAUCGUAUCAUUAUGAUUCGCGUCUUAUUAGAGAUUUAACCCAGCGAAAAAACAAAAAAUCAAUAAAGUUGGUUGUUCUCCUCAGAAAUAUUCGACAUAAACUUUAAUAGAGUUGGAAAUUUCCUAGUUUUAGUCAUAUAUUCCAUUUAAUAGUUAUAGAUGCUAAGGGGUUCGAAAGAUAACUCAAAUCAAUUUUCAUUUUUUCUAAAAUGAAAGAGAUUAGACUUGAUUAUUUUUAAAUAGGAGAAGGGGAUAUAUUUUGUAAGCGUUCCUGAGAAUGAUUCUGUUACAACAAAACAUCGUAAUCAUGUUACAUUAGAAAAUCUACUUUAAUGGGGUUAUAUUUUUUUAUUAUUUUGUGCAAUAGUCAAACAGUGAGCCAUUAUUUCAUCAACAUUUUUUUUUUAAGGUGCGUGAUUUUUGGAUAGAUCUAGCUCACAUGUAUUGAUGUGUGCUGAUGAUUUCUCCUUUGGAGAUUAGGAUUGAAUACGCGUAUGUAUAAUAGCCGAAUCCGAUAACUACAUGUAUGAAUGCAAAAUCAGAGCACACUACUCAUUUAGUAUUCUUGAGGUGCUUUUACAAAUAAAAUGUGCAUGCUGCACACAACAUUCGCUCUUUCAGGCUCAAGUGUGAGGCCCGUGCCAAUGAUAGCUUAGGUCUCUAUCAACCUCCGAGCGUGCUUAUUUACAGGUGUUAGGGAAAUUUCUACCAUCAAUUAACUAAUUACAUGUGCUGUCUUGCAUCAAAAGUCACCACUAAAAUACAUGGUCAUAGGUCGUGUCUCAUGUUCUUAAAAGAAUGGGCAAACAAGACUAGACAUAUGACCUAGAAUAAGCUUUUGAACCUUAUCCUAAGGACAAAAGAGCACGGCCUAAUUAACUGGACCCGUGAUUUAAAUCUUUCGUUGUAAAGUAGGAUUCGUAACUUAAUUCGUGGCCUCACAUGGGGCCGGCUCCGCGGCGCACACCACCUCCGGGUGGGCGUGCUCGAAGUACUCCCUCCCCCACUACUUGUCCUCCCUGUGCCGCUUGAGCUCUGCCACGAGCGGAUUGAACGGGACCGGCUUGUGGUGGUGGCGGGCGGCGGCGGCGGGGGGGGGGGGGCUUGAAGGUGAAGUUGGACCGGAGCUUCAAGCGGCGGCGGUGGUCACCACAGCCAUGGCCGGCGGGGGACUGUGGGGAGCGGGAGACGAGGAGGAGGAGAAGGACGGCGACGACAAGGUAGAUGGCAACGGAGAGCUUGCCCAUCUAAAGGGGAGGCGCUGGGACCAUGCAUGCAGAUCGGAGAUCGGCGGUGAGGGUUUUGGAUAUGGAGAAUUUAGAGAGAGGAGUUGUUUGACGAAAUCGCGAAGUGAGGUUUUCGAUGGAUU
rnacentral:lncRNA from 1 species